CCUACGGGUGGCUGCAGUGGGGAAUAUUGGACAAUGGGGGCAACCCUGAUCCAGCCAUGCCGCGUGUGUGAAGAAGGCCCUCGGGUUGUAAAGCACUUUCAGUGAGGAAGAACGCCUGGUGGUUAAUACCCAUCAGGAAAGACAUCACUCACAGAAGAAGCACCGGCUAACUCCGUGCCAGCAGCCGCGGUAAUACGGAGGGUGCGAGCGUUAAUCGGAAUUACUGGGCGUAAAGCGCGCGUAGGUGGCUUGAUAAGCCGGUUGUGAAAGCCCCGGGCUCAACCUGGGAACGGCAUCCGGAACUGUCGAGCUAGAGUGCAGGAGAGGAAGGUAGAAUUCCCGGUGUAGCGGUGAAAUGCGUAGAGAUCGGGAGGAAUACCAGUGGCGAAGGCGGCCUUCUGGACUGACACUGACACUGAGGUGCGAAAGCGUGGGUAGCAAACAGGAUUAGAUACCCCGGUAGUC
rnacentral:rRNA from 1 species